CCUACGGGAGGCAGCAGUGGGGAAUAUUGGACAAUGGGCGCAAGCCUGAUCCAGCCAUACCGCGUGGGUGAAGAAGGCCUUCGGGUUGUAAAGCCCUUUUGUUGGGAAAGAAAAGCAGCGGGCUAAUACCUUGCUGUUCUGACGGUACCCAAAGAAUAAGCACCGGCUAACUUCGUGCCAGCAGCCGCGGUAAUACGAAGGGUGCAAGCGUUACUCGGAAUUACUGGGCGUAAAGCGUGCGUAGGUGGUUGUUUAAGUCUGUUGUGAAAGCCCUGGGCUCAACCUGGGAACUGCAGUGGAAACUGGAUGACUAGAGUGUGGUAGAGGGUAGCGGAAUUCCCGGUGUAGCAGUGAAAUGCGUAGAGAUCGGGAGGAACAUCCAUGGCGAAGGCAGCUACCUGGACCAACACUGACACUGAGGCACGAAAGCGUGGGGAGCAAACAGGAUUAGAUACCCUGGUAGUCCACGCCCUAAACGAUGCGAACUGGAUGUUGGGUGCACUUUGGCACGCAGUAUCGAAGCUAACGCGUUAA
rnacentral:rRNA from 2 species